rnacentral:lncRNA from 1 species
CUUGUGGUUUCUGGAGAUAUAAUGUUGUUUCACAGAACACAGAUGGCGCUGCAGGGUUAUCGAUGGGCCCGAAUAUUUUUGAUUAUUUUAUUUUCUUCAAAAUUUGGUAUAUUUAAUUAUCUGCAACAUUUAUUGAAAUUAUAUUAUAUUUUAUUUAGGUUUCGGAUCAAACAAGUCGAUCGAUUAUUGUCGUUGAUUCGGCGAAUUUAUGGUUUGGUAGAUUUUUUCUAGUUUGGCAACUUUGUUCGUGGUUCUUGUGUCAGACUGACAGCUGGCUGAGCUGAGAGACAGGUUAUGGAAAGUGGGGACGUCGCGAGAGCGCCGGAGACUCCACUGCCGUAACAAUAAUGUGGGCAAAUUAAAAGCCACGAUUUAUCGGCGACAUCAAGAGCCGAUGUCUCCAUUUAUAUAAAUAACUUAACUGAGAUGCAACAUCACUGAAAUCCCAUCGCCUAAGGUCCAGUGGGUGGGUUUAGGUUUCAUCCGAGCGAUGCCCAACUAUCCCGGAUGAACCUAUGGGUUUUUUGUUUCCUUUAAGUUUUUAACGUUUUAAAGUUUCGAACGUUUUGCAAGUUUUAAUCUAAGAAGAAGUUUAUGAUUGGAUCAGACUAUUUCAACAAAUUUGGUGAAUGAAGAUUCCUACUGUUUUCUUCUGCAUUUGAGAGUUAUUUCAAGCUUCAUUUCGGCGGAGCUUGCCUUGGUUGUUUGCACGUCGAAGCUUUCCUUUGUGCGGCGCGCAUGUGGAUGUGCCGCGCCUCUCCUUUUGUCAACACACCGGAUAAGGCCCGGUGAAGGACUGCGAGGUUGACCGGUGGACGUGCAGCCCGCCAGCUGCGUAACAGUUGGCCCGCUGCGCCGCCAUCGUCCAGCACGCCCUGGCCUGAGCCGGCCUCAACUCAUCACCUGUACGGUAUUCCGGGACGCCUCAGGUAGGCCUGAUAGUCAGAGGUCCUCGAGUAAGUGAGGUGCCUACUAGGAGGACGGAAAGAUAUUUUAAGACCUAGUGAUAUCUUAUGGUCAUGUCACAGAGUGAUACUUUACCUAACGGCCCACUUCUCAUUAAUUGAAUUCUAUUCUAUUGGAAUUACAAAAAUCUUUUGUUUCAGUGGCGCCCUUCUUGGUGAAAUUGUCGCUUUGUACAACCAUUUUAGUAUAUAAGUGGUGUUGGCAUAAACUUUAAGAUAAAAAUUUUUUUUGAGAAAACAGUGUAUUUUUUUUUAUUAAAAAAAGUGAUGGGAUUUUGUGUGAAUUGUUUGUGUUUUGUUUGCAUCUUAGGUUAAGUUGUGUUUGUCUUAGCAUAAGUAAAGUUAUAGGCCUCCUAUUAGAGACCUAACUUAAUUACCUAUUUU